CGGACGGGUGAGUAAUGUCUGGGAAACUGCCCGAUGGAGGGGGAUAACUACUGGAAACGGUAGCUAAUACCGCAUAACGUCGCAAGACCAAAGAGGGGGACCUUCGGGCCUCUUGCCAUCGGAUGUGCCCAGAUGGGAUUAGCUAGUAGGUGGAGGUACGCUACCUAGGCGACGAUCCCUAGCUGGUCUGAGAGGAUGACCAGCCACACUGGAACUGAGACACGGUCCAG
rnacentral:rRNA from 1 species